GUGCCAGCAGCCGCGGUAACACGUAGGGGGCGAGCGUUGUCCGGAUUUAUUGGGCGUAAAGAGCUCGUAGGCGGUUUCGUAAGUCGGAUGUGAAAACUCCAGGCUCAACUUGGAGACGCCAUUCGAUACUGCGAUGACUUGAGUCCGGUAGGGGAGUGUGGAAUUCCUGGUGUAGCGGUGAAAUGCGCAGAUAUCAGGAGGAACACCGGCGGCGAAGGCGGCACUCUGGGCCGGUACUGACGCUGAGGAGCGAAAGCGUGGGUAGCAAACAGGAUUAGAUACCCUGGUAGUCC
rnacentral:rRNA from 1 species